rnacentral:rRNA from 1 species
AUAGCGUAUAUUUAAGUUGUUGCAGUUAAAAAGCUCGUAGUUGGAUUUCGGGCGGGCCCGGCCGGUCCGCCUCACGGUGUGCACUGACCGGGCCCGUCCUGCUGCCGGGGACGGGCUCCUGGGCUUCACUGUCCGGGACUCGGAGUCGGCGAGGUUACUUUGAGUAAAUUAGAGUGUUCAAAGCAGGCAUCCGCCUUGAAUACGUUAGCAUGGAAUAACACGAUAGGACUCUGGCCUAUCUUGUUGGUCUGUGGGACCGGAGUAAUGAUUAAGAGGGACAGUCGGGGGCAUUCGUAUUUCAUUGUCAGAGGUGAAAUUCUUGGAUUUAUGAAAGACGAACUACUG